GACGAACGCUGGCGGCGUGCCUAAUACAUGCAAGUAGAACGCUGAAAGAGGAGCUUGCUUCUCUGGAUGAGUUGCGAACGGGUGAGUAACGCGUAGGUAACCUGCCUGGUAGCGGGGGAUAACUAUUGGAAACGAUAGCUAAUACCGCAUAAUAGUAGAUGUUGCAUGACAUUUGCUUAAAAGGUGCAAUUGCAUCACUACCAGAUGGACCUGCGUUGUAUUAGCUAGUUGGUGAGGUAACGGCUCACCAAGGCGACGAUACAUAGCCGACCUGAGAGGGUGAUCGGCCACACUGGGACUGAGACACGGCCCAGACUCCUACGGGAGGCAGCAGUAGGGAAUCGUCGGCAAUGGACGGAAGUCUGACCGAGCAACGCCGCGUGAGUGAAGAAGGUUUUCGGAUCGUAAAGCUCUGUUGUAAGAGAAGAACGAGUGUGAGAGUGGAAAGUUCACACUGUGACGGUAUCUUACCAGAAAGGGACGGCUAACUACGUG
rnacentral:rRNA from 1 species